CCCUGGAUCUCAUUGCUGGAAUAAGGUAAUUCACACCAGAAAAAGAGAGAGAGAGAGAGAGAGAGAGAGAGAGAGAGAGAGAGAGAGAGAGAGAGAGAGAGAGAGAGAGAGAGAGAGAGAGAGAGAGAGAGAGAGAGAGAGAGAGAGAGAGAGA